CAGUCAGUCUUGCUACAGCAGAUGUUUUUCUCAUUUUACUACAUUUUAGGGCACCUAUAAAGAGAAGCCUCUUACAUGUGGUAGAAAACACAUGGAUGGCUGCUUCCAGGGAAGCAAUGCACCCCACAUAUCAACAAUCCUUCCCUUCAGCUGCAUCUUUAUUCUGUAUCAAGAGAUUAACUGCUCCUUCAGCCUUCAGGCUGUGAGCUGCUGUAACCCAGGGGACAUUCACCUUUGAUGGUAUGACCUUGUAGCACCUGCUGGUUUCAAGCAUACAAAAUAGAUUUAAAGAUUUUUAUAAAAUCCUAGAACAUGUGGCUCAAACACGUCUGAAAAAGAGGCUGAGUGGCAAGAAAGAAAGAGCA
rnacentral:lncRNA from 1 species